GCCAGCGUUAAGCUCAUCUGCGCAGCGGUUUUGUAAACCGCAGGUUGCGGGUUCGAGUCCCGCCGGUG
rnacentral:tRNA from 1 species